CCCAAGUCCAUCACAUCUGAUAACCACUGUCAGGCUAGACAGUGGACUCAUGGUGCUCUCAGGGCGACCUCACAGGGGCUUGGCCGUGGCACUGAGGGGAGAGCCUGAUUGGCUGGCUGUUUCAUUGCCAGAUCUCUGAAGGCCAAUCAGGAUUUGUAGCUCAGCCACCUGCUUUCUGAGGAGCACUGAGCAAGAUGGCCACCUCCUGGUGGUAAGUCUCGCUCCUGGAGUUCCCAUCUUGACCCUACAGCGGGACAUUUUGCCGCCACCUCUUUGUGUGUUGGGAAGAUGACGUCCUUUCUGCUCGUCCUGCUUCUCUGAUUGGGACAGUCUGGUUUGAAAGGGAGGAGGAGAAAUAAGAGAAAGCUCCGUGGUAAUAUACAAGACGAAAGGAAAAGAAAGACAAGUAAAAGGAAUGAUCUGCAACCACCUGGAUAUUGGAGCACAAUUGUGAGAACAACUGGAUCUGUGUCUCUGGAGAUCCCUUUGCUCAGCCAUCAGAUCAAGCAGGCAUCCAUGGUUCAGAAUGGUGAUGACCUGGGCAAGAGCUCACCAGUAAGGAGCAAAGGGGCCCGCCUGCCACUCUUAAGCAGAGCGCCUGCUGAAUCAGGAUUUCCAAGGCUCCGGCUGAGUGCCUGGCUGGGGGCUGUGUGUGCAGAUGCCACAAGAUGGACAAGACUGAGGACGCAGAUGAGGAAACUGAAGCAACUGUUCAAGAAGAGGAUAUAAAAAGGGACAGGCAUUGAUGAUGAUAUCAGAGCUUCUUCCUGGGGAAUCUCAGCCUCACAUGAUGGAGUAUGACUAAAGGAAAAAAAUAAGGCUCUUCACAUACUUUCUUGGCAGUCUGUGAGGGUCAGGGUUGAUUUUGUGUCCCUAAAAUGUCACAUGAAGUUCAUAGGCACUUCCAAAGGGGCAGUCUAGCAAGUUAAAGAGUAGAUGUGGGGCUGUGUGGAGUCCAUUGUUUGGGUAAUCUUUUUCAAACAGUAGGAAUAUACCAGCUUGUAAAGAUUUGCCCACUUAGCUUCAAGUCUCUCUGAACACAUUUCCCCCCGCUCUAUGAAUAGAUGAAGACAUACAAAUGGAACUCUUGAUAUUCUUAAGUGAAAAACAUGAUAUGGAAUAGCAGAUAAAUACAAACAAUUUCUUAUCCAGCAAAGAGCUCCAGAAAUAUUUUGACUUCAUUUAAAACAGUUAUAUAAAUAUUUGCUGGUGGAAUUUUUUUCUAAACCAAAUACCCUGAAGGAUUUUAGUUGUCUAUCUACAACUUUUUGCUUGUGGAAAAUGUUGACUUCCUGGUUACUUUGACUUGUGUUCACCUGAAAUUUUGCUUUUGCAGUAGUUUUUCUUAUGAUUUAGUGGCAUUGCCUGUCCAGUGACAGGAAGUGGUGUUCUUAUUGGGACUAAUAUGUGUUAUGGCCCUAGAACCAGCAGAAGCCACUCCUGCUUUUUUCCACACUCUUCUUUCUAUAGAAGAGAAGGGAAUGAGGAUCCCACAUGGCAUUCACUGCCUUGAGCAUACUGAGAUUUCUUUGCAAAAGGAGAAACAGCACCAGCAACUAAGCAUUUUAUCCCAUUUUAUUUUACUUCUUCUAUGAUUCUUUGCCACUUAGCAAUGCCAAUUAAUUGAUUUGGGACUGGAAAUACAUUUCUUAUACAAUCUUCAAGUUUUCUUUCAUAAGAACAUAACUUUCAUCUGAUAUUGUUCCCCACUUCUCUCUUUUCAAAUGUAAUAUUUGGGCCAGUCCUUGAAAGUGAACUGAGUUGAGUUCUCAUGGCCCAUAAAAGAACAUAUUCAAAAUGUAUCAUUUUCUUUAUGUCACAGAUAAAAGAUCAUUAAUUGUAUAUAAAAUUUCCAUAUAAUUUUUAAAAUUUUUAUUUUGCAAUAAUUUAUUUUAGAUUUACAUUAAAGUUGCAAGGAAGGU
rnacentral:lncRNA from 10 species